UACGUAGGGGGCAAGCGUUGUCCGGGUUUAUUGGGCGUAAAGAGCGUGUAGGCGGCCAGACAGGUCCGUUGUGAAAACUCGAGGCUCAACCUCGAGACGCCGAUGGAAACCGUCUGGCUAGAGUCCGGAAGAGGAGAGUGGAAUUCCUGGUGUAGCGGUGAAAUGCGCAGAUAUCGGGAGGAACACCGGUGGCGAAGGCGGUUCUCUGGGCCUUACCUGACGCUGAGGAGCGAAAGCGUGGGGAGCGAACAGG
rnacentral:rRNA from 1 species